GUGCCAGCAGCCGCGGUAAUACCGGCAGCCCGAGUGAUGACCGAUCUUAUUGGGCCUAAAGCGUCCGUAGCUUGCUGUGUAAGUCCAUUGGGAAAUCCACGCGCUCAACGCGUGGGCGUCCGGUGGAAACUGCACGGCUUGGGGCCGAGAGACUCGACGGGUACGUCCGGGGUAGGAGUGAAAUCCUAUAAUCCUGGACGGACCACCAAUGGGGAAACCACGUCGAGAAAACGGAUCCGACAGUGAGGGACGAAAGCCAGGGUCUCCAACCGGAUUAGAAACCCCGGUAGUCU
rnacentral:rRNA from 1 species